rnacentral:rRNA from 1 species
UGUUGCGCGAUUAGCCAACGGAAGUUUGAGGCAAUAACAGGUCUGUGAUGCCCUUAGAUGUUCUGGGUCGCACGCGCGCUACACUGAUGAAGUCAACGAGUUCAUUUUGGCCGGAAGGCCCG